GCAGUGAGCCAUGCCAAUGUGGUUUGGCUGGACUGUGAGUGCUUGAUGCAGUCUGAUAGGAGGAUGGGGGUGGCGCAGAGAACAUUGAAAUCAGAAAGGAUUCUGCUCUGUAGAGACAAAGGAAACACAGAGACAUAGACAUGGAUCUGGGAAAUACACCUUUUGCUACUCGUUCAGUUUUAGCAAGGAGGUUUCUUGCAUGGCUAAGCAAAACUUAAACUUCCUCUGAGAAUUACAGGAAUUACAGGACCUGACAAAGCUAUGAAGAUUAAAACCUAUAGGAAGAAAAUCUGAACCAGAAACAGUAUGGCAGAAUUGGGAUCUGACUCACAGAGGGAAGAACUUAUAAUUCUUCACAGGUCACAUAGAAGCAUGAGAAUUUGGGUUCAAGCAAGAGAAACAUUUUGCACUGUGCUGGGGGAUUCUACCCACAUAAGUCAGCAUGUUACUUGCU
rnacentral:lncRNA from 1 species